rnacentral:rRNA from 1 species
AUACGGAGGAUGCAAGCGUUAUCCGGAUUUAUUGGGUUUAAAGGGUGCGUAGGCGGUUUGCUAAGCGGGAGGUGAAAUGCCGGCGCUCAACGUCGGAAGUGCCUCCCGAACUGGUGGACUGGAAUGACUCUGCCGUGGGAGGAAUGUGUAGUGUAGCGGUGAAAUGCUUAGAGAUUACACAGAACACCGAUUGCGAAGGCAUCUCACGAAGGGUUGAUGUGCGCUGAGGCACGAAAGCGUGGGGAUCAAACAGGAUUAGAUACCCUGGUAGUCCGCACAGUAAACGAUGAAUACUUGUUUUCGGCGAUAUAAUGUCGGAGGCAAAGCGAAAGCGAUAAGUAUUCCACCUGGGGAGUACGCCGGCAACGGUGAAACUCAAAGGAAUUGACGGGG